CCAGUUUCCUGUCUCUGGCAAUGGUGCCUUUAUUGGUCACACAGCUUAGAAGCUACUCCCAUAUUGGCUACUUUAGUGGCCUCUUUAAGGCCACAUAGUUGAUGAGUGGUAGAGUCCCAGACGUGAGGAUGAGUAAGAAAACCCAAACCGCAAGAGGAAUACAAGAUGGAGGUGAGAUUAGCAUCUCCCCCAUUCACUCCCACUCCCCCCUCUUCUAGCAUACUAGGAGGGAAGGAGGAUACAGCAUGCAGCUAGGCCAGGUAACAGGAAGGAAAGAAUUUCCAGCUGAAUACAUUAAUAAAGGCAAAGGGGAGAAGCAGGGGAUUGAGGAGAGUGGUCCUAUCAAGCUACAAGUAACAGAAAGCCUGGCUUGCAAAAAUGAAAGGAAAAUUAUGAUUAAAAAAACAACAGGGAAAGAGCUUUUCAAAAUGGAGUCCCCAAGCCAUCAAGGGAGAUCGAGUUAACAAUCCAGCUGCUGCCUAGGGAUGUGAACUUUGGCCACCUUCACCCUUUGCAGGCAUCUGAAACUGAUUACAUUGGGUUGACCUGGAGACUGCAGAUGCAUGUCAAGAGGUUAUGGGAUUCUUGUUUCAUUGGGCUCAUAACCGCUAUCAUUACAGUACCUGUUCUUCCUCAAUUUCAGUAGCAUUUUUCUCUAUAAAGAAUUUUUAUCACUUUGUAGUGCUUCAGGUUCAGGCCCCACUUUUCUUGCCUUUCUUAUUUGGAAUCUGUGUCUCCUGAGUUGGAAUGCCAAAGACUGCAAAUAAACUCCUUUUUACCUUUGCAGUUUCUAAGUUUGGAUUGAUCAGUAAUAUCACUGGCUUAAACAAAUAAGUUUAUUUUCUCAUUGGGUAGUAGGCCUGUAGUUAGAUAGCUGCAUUGGUUCAGUGACUCAGUGAUAUCAGGGUGAAUACUUCUACAAUUUUUUUGGCUUCUCCCUGAGGGUUACAGUAUGGCUGGAAGCCUCUAAUCCAUGCGUCAUUUUACUUGUUCAAUACAGGGGCUUGCCCAGAAGUAACUCAGCAGAUUUUUGCUUGCCUCUCACUGAACAAAACUGUAUUACAUAGAUGCAAGAGAGGCUAGGAAAAUGAGUAUUUUGCCUUUUCAACCUAUGUCCCCCUUUUGUGGCACAGGGGAUUAAACCCAGGGCCUUUGCACAUGCCAGAAAGUACUUACCACCGAGCUCCAUCCCCAGCCCCCUUUUCAACCUCUUCAAUGGACAUUGUCAAGAGAAAAAGGAUUUGUGGGUACAGAAAAGAUUGAAAUGACCAUUUAGUGCUCAGGUUCCUAGCUCUGGCAGAAUUAAUUUUGCAGACAGGCACAACAGUAUCUCCCAUCCUGUGUGUUCUUCCUGUAACGUGGUGACAUUCCUCCCAUUUAGAGAACCAGAAGUUUUGCUGCGAGGGAACCCAAAUUACUCCAUGCAGUGAGACCACCGUGCACUGUGUAUAGAUAUUCCAGAAAACAGCUCAGCUGAAGACAAAACAGGUUAUGAGGAAAAUCCACCAAGUCAAGUAUAUGAGUAAAGACACUCUCAGAUGAAUCAACCCCAGCGGUGAGUCAUCUCCAGCCUUUGAGUCUUUCCGGUUGAGACUUCAAACAUCAUGAAGCUGCUUUCGGCUGUUCGCUCCUUCAAAUUCUGACCCGCAGAAUUUGUGAGCAUAAGAAAAUGUAAAUGCAAAUUAAAUCAACAGUAAGAGACUACUCAGUCCUAUUAGGGUGACUAUAAUAAAGAAGUCAGAUGAUACAAUGGUGGCGAGGACAUGGGAGGUCUGGAACCCUAAUACACUGCCACUGGGAAUGUGAAAUGGUGCAGCCACCUUGAGAUACAGUUUGGCAGUUCCUCAAAAUGUUAGCUAGUGGGGGUAGGCGGGGUGUGGCUUGCUAGCAUGCUGGAAGCCCUCAGCAUAAACAACUCAAGCCCAGUUUGGUGGUGCACACCUGUCAUCCCAGCAACUCGGGAGGCUGAGGCAGGAGGAUCACAAGUGCCACAUCAGCCUGAAACUCAAAAAACAAUACCCAGUCAGCAUGUCUCAGGAACCAAGAUGUACUCUGUGUUAAAACAGGAUACAGACCCAAGGUCCUAGUGUGUGGAAGCAGGGGUAUAUUCUACAAGCCUUCCUACCUAGAUCCACCAAGCUCAUGUGGCAGGGCCCUCUGCCAAUAGCUCUGCUCACUGGUUUAAUGGCCCUGAACUCCCUCUUACCUCUUAAGAGAGCUACUCUGGAGCACAGAGUUCCCUCAGCUCCUCACCAGUCAGCCCCUUUCCUAUUUGGACUCUGAUCAGUUGCCUCCUGGGAUUUGGCUCGGAGUGUGAACUUUUCUCUCACUGCCCCUGAGAUAGACUUCACACCUCUAUUACCUGCAACCACUAAUGGCUUGAGAAGUUUCUAGUACUUAAUGCCAAAUCAGGAUGGGGUGGAGUGGGGUAGAGGUUAAGAGAAGGGAGGUCUCAGAAUCUGAAAUCCUGCUCUAGACCAGCAGGGCUACAAAGAAUGGACCCUGUUAAUUGCUCACUGCUGCCAGAGGCAGUGGUGCCUGCCUGGAAUCCUAGUGACUUGGGAGUCUGAGAUAGGAGGAUCACAAGUUAAGGCCAGCCUCAGCGAUUCAGGGUGACCUUCAGCGUCUUAGCAAGACCCUGUCUCACAAAUUAAAAGGGCUGGGGAUAUAUCUCAUGGUAAAGCAUCCCUGGUUCAAUUCCCAGUACAAACAAAGCAAACAACAACAACAAAAACACCUCACUACUGUGUGUCAGGCACCUUGCCAAUGAUUGCUGACAUUUACUGAAUGCUGUCUUCUUUUCAAGCACUGUUCAAAGCACUUUGUGUUAUUUAAUCCUUGUAAAAAUCCCAUGAGGUACUAUUUCUAUUUUACAGAUUAAGAAUCGAAGGCAUAGAGAGGGGAUAGUCUCUUGCCCAAGGAUCCAAAAGUAAUAAAGGUCAGCUUCAGGAAAUCUGA